AUUAGACUUGGCAGCAAGUCUCUUUACAGACUGAUCCAUCUUACCAGUCCACCAAUAAAUUACGUCUUAAAAGAUGAAAUAGACUUAAAGCUGCAUAAAAACAAACAUUGUCUUAGAUGGUAUUAGGUAAGAAAUUAAAUUUACAGAAAACAAAUACUAUAAUUUUACCUGAAAACAUUAACUCUGAAUUAAUGUUUGCAUACACUUAGAGAUAUUGAAUAUAUUUAUAGAUACUUGCAAACAGAAUGUUUGUAAAGAUACUCACUAUAUGUUACUUGUAUGACAAAGUUUGGUUUGGGAAGAGAACUUUUAUAAGGAAUUUCUGAGGGCUGAAGAGAUGUCUCAGUGUUUAAGAGCACUGGCUGCUUUUUCAGAAGGUCUGGAUUCAGUUCCUAGCACCUACAUGGAAGCUUACAACUGUUUGUAACUUCUGUUUCAAAGGAUCCUAUGCUGUCUUCUGAUGACUGCUGAGAGCACUAGGCACACAUGUGCAUACAUGCACAUCACAUUUAAAAAGUGGUUAAUGAAGUAAAUAUGUAAAUGAAGGAUUAGAGUACAGAUCUAUUUUUCUGUGAUAAUUAGUUUUUAUAAGAUCUGAUGUGGGAUAGACUAUGAAUAGUCAACCUGAGUACAUUUUAUCAGUGAACUAAGGACUUUAUGAAGACAUAGAAACAGAUAAUUUGUCUUACAACACAAAUGGUAUGCUAAGUUGAUAGAAUAUAUAUUAUAUAAUAUAUGUGAACUUACAUACAUAUCCUUACAAUGUUCACAUUGCUCUUAAGCAUGUAUGAAAUAGCCUUGCUUGUAUACAUGCAUUUAUAUAUAGUAAGAAAGGAAGUAGAAACAUAAAAGGUCAGCUAGUCUAAUUACAAAGUCAAUAGUAUAUAAUAUACUCUUAGAAUUAUACCUUAUGCUAAGUCAUACACAGACAGGUGUUAACACUGAGAGGUUUUUGUUGUUGUUUGUUUUUGAUAAAGGAUCUCCCUAGGUAACCCUAGGUUAGAAUUUAGGAUUAUUUUUCCCAGCUUCCCAUAAGCUGGUGACUAUAGCUAUGUUCUACGGUACCUGGGCUGUGGAAGUUUUUAAGACAUUCAAAUUUGAAAAAAAUCUAGUUUAUAUAUAUUAAGUUCUCAGAAUAGGUUUUAGUUUGUGUGUUUGCAUUUGUGUCUUAACAAAAUAGUUUUCUGAAAUUUACUUUCACCCUUUAGAAUGGAGAAAAAAUUAUUGUUCCUAAUAAAACUUCUCUGGAGUUGCUCUGUCAAGGAUGUUCUGGUGAUAUCAGAAGUGCAAUAAACAGCCUGCAGUUCUCGUCUUCAAAAGGUAACUAACUAGAGAAGACAUACUCAUAGAGCAUUGAUAGGUGACUUGCUCUUAAACAGUCAUGAAAUAAAUCACAUUAAACCUUUGUUAUGGAAUGUCUAGUGAUUGAGCCCAGGGUCUUCCAUAUGGUAGACAGGUCUUUUGCCAUUGAAUUAUCUGUUGUCAUCAGCCCAAACUAGACAUGAAGUAGUUCCUUCCUUAUCUAUGGCUUAACUGCUUGCAGUCAGUACUGUCUGAAAUUUUUUAUAGAAUAUUAUAGAGUAAAAUCAUUCACCACUUUUACAUUUUACAUUUCACUGAGUACUGAUAAGAUCUUCUGGUGGCACAUGCCUGUAGUUCUAGCACUCGAGGCAUAGGCAGGUGGGUUUCUGAGUUCAAGGCCAGAAUGGUCUACCUUGAAAAUUCCAAGACAGCCAGGGAUAUGUAGAGAGACCCUGUGCCAAAAAAUAAGUAAGUAAGUUAAGUAAAAUCUUCUGGCCCCCCCUGGGAAACCAAUCAUCUUUGACAUCUGUGUCUGUCUGUCUGUCUGUCUGUGUUUGUGUGUAUGGUAUAGUCAGGACAACUUUCUGGGUUGGUUUUCAUCUUGUAAGUUUUCUUUCUUUUUCUUUUUUGCCUCAAUCCCCAGCCUGGCCAACCCUACAGAAUAGGUAAUUUAGUUGUGUGUGUAUCUCUUUCUGUGGGAGAAACUAUUUUUAUGGUGUUGGGGAUUAUUACACAGUUUAUCCUACUUUUUAGUGUUAUUUUUAAAUUUUGUAUUUUAUGUAUAUGGGUGGUUUUGCUUGCAUGCAUGUCUAUGUACCACAUGUACCACAGAUGCCAGAAGAGGGCAUCAUAUUUCCUGGAUCUGGAGUUACCUAUGUUGGUGAGCUGCCCUGUGAGUGCCAGGAAUCAAACCUGGAUCCCCUGGAAGAGCAGCAAGUGAUCUUAACUACUGAGCCAUUUCUCUAGCUUCUAAAACAAUUUUAAAUAAUGGCAUCUUAUUACUUUUUUUUGUUUGUUUUGUUUUUCUCUGUGUAGCCCUGGCUGUCUUGACACUCACUCUGGGAUCAAACUCAGUCAUCUGCCUGCCUCUGCCUCCCUAGUGCUGGGAUUAAAGGUGUGCGCCACCACGCCCGGUGACAUUUGAUGACAUUUUAGCAACAGAGAGGGUUCUUCACUGAGGCCAUGCUAAGUUACUGCUUGUUAGAAAAAGGUUUGGGUUGGAACACUUAGUAUAAAUAUUUGAAAAAAAAUUUUUAAAGAUUUAUUUAUUUAUUAUAUGUGAGCAUACUGUAGCUGCCUUCAGACACACCAGAAGAGGGCAUUGGAUCUCAUUGUGGAUGGUUGUGAGCCACCAUGUGGUUGCUGGGAUUUGAACUCAGGACCUUCGGAAUAGGAGUCAGUGCUUCUAACUGCUGAGCCAUCUCUCCAGCCCCAAAAUACUCUUACUUUUAGUUUUUAUAUUUUGAUUUUUUUAUUCAAAUAUUAUUUAAGGAGAGAACAGUUCGUGGUCAAAGAAGAAAAGAAUGUCAUUGAAAUCGGAUGCUGCCAUAUCAAAAUC
rnacentral:lncRNA from 1 species